rnacentral:lncRNA from 1 species
ACACCCUAGUGUCCGCAGGCCCGCAGUGCAUUGCAAACGUACGUCAUUCUUCCAUCUUUCCGCCAUCCUUUUUGCACUGCGCUAUCAGCAACUUGUCGGCGUUGAGGCAAAUCGGGACCGGUGUUACAGUUUUUUUUUAUCAGUUCAUCUGAUCAGAUUUGGAAUAAAACGGUAAUAGACAUGGCAUUCAGGUGGGCUUCAGUAUUUGCAGUUCUGUGCAUGGCUGUCUUCGUCUCGGCACAGGAAGAAGCGACGUUUCGCUGGUCUGAGGUCUCUGCCGGGGUCGGUGGCUGUAUCGGCGGUAUGAUGCUCAUCAUCGGCAUCUCCUUCGUCAUCUACGACUUCACUUGCCGGGACUACUUUUCUGGCAGGGCUGGAGAAUAUUUCAGGGCGGAUGCAGAUGUGGCGGCUGGAAAUUCGACGAAGCUGUAAGCUGAUCGCGUGGAAUUAUUUCUUGUCGCCAAAUGGCAUAGAUGAACGAUUACCAAAAACUCGCUACCUGAUGUACCAAACCUCACCCCGUUUUCUAGUCCAGUACUGUUCUUAUGCCCAAUUUUUUUUUUUAACCAGAUGACGUGUUUUUAUCCGUUUGAUAUGGCUGACUUGUAAAUAUACAUUUUAUUACUCCAUUUAAAACAAUCUGAAACAUUUAAGGGCCAUUUCAGUCUUUCAAAUGUGUUCCCGAAGAAAAUGCAAAAAAGGACAUGAAAUAACAAUUAUAACAAGUCUUAAUUUCGAUAUAUACGUGACUUGUAUAUUACAGUAAAAUAAUACCUUUUGAUAUAAAACGCCGCACACGAUUUUAUACCUGCUGAUCCAAAAAAGUAUUUUAACUUAAAACUUGAUGUAAAUAAUAAGCACAUUAGAGCAGAUUUGGCAAGAUAUUUACAUGUAGAAAGUGGUCGACCAAAUUGUACAUUGCGUGGUCCUUGAGAUAGGGUCUUCCAUUUCAAAUAGAAAAACACUGACGAAACGAAACGCUGAAUAGGCCCAAGUUCACAAGGCAACUAUUGUUGAUUUUUUAAUGUAAAACACCUUUAAUCUCCAGUAAUUUUGUGGUCGUCUUCGAAUGAAUUUUUAAUUAAAUUGCAGUAAUUUCAAUGGUAUAUUUUUUUUACUGACUGGAAUAGAACGUAGUUUAAUGAGACCUUUGCUCCAACUAUAGAAAAUCGGGUCAUGAAGAUAUUGAUGCUUGUAUAUUUAGUUGUGGAGAUAUGUUUUAAUUCUAAUCAUAUUAAUUGUAAUCAUAGUACAUGUAGUUGAAUGUUUUUAAUUGUUUGUCUAAUAAAGUAUAUAUAUAUAAGAUAUAAUGAAA